rnacentral:rRNA from 1 species
AACGCUGGCGGCAGGCUUAACACAUGCAAGUCGAGCGGGCGUAGCAAUACGUCAGCGGCAGACGGGUGAGUAACGCGUGGGAACGUACCUUUUGGUUCGGAACAACACAGGGAAACUUGUGCUAAUACCGGAUAAGCCCUUACGGGGAAAGAUUUAUCGCCGAAAGAUCGGCCCGCGUCUGAUUAGCUAGUUGGUGAGGUAAUGGCUCACCAAGGCGACGAUCAGUAGCUGGUCUGAGAGGAUGAUCAGCCACAUUGGGACUGAGACACGGCCCAAACUCCUACGGGAGGCAGCAGUGGGGAAUAUUGGACAAUGGGGGCAACCCUGAUCCAGCCAUGCCGCGUGAGUGAUGAAGGCCCUAGGGUUGUAAAGCUCUUUUGUGCGGGAAGAUAAUGACGGUACCGCAAGAAUAAGCCCCGGCUAACUUCGUGCCAGCAGCCGCGGUAAUACGAAGGGGGCUAGCGUUGCUCGGAAUCACUGGGCGUAAAGGGUGCGUAGGCGGGUCUUUAAGUCAGGGGUGAAAUCCUGGAGCUCAACUCCAGAACUGCCUUUGAUACUGAAGAUCUUGAGUUCGGGAGAGGUGAGUGGAACUGCGAGUGUAGAGGUGAAAUUCGUAGAUAUUCGCAAGAACACCAGUGGCGAAGGCGGCUCACUGGCCCGAUACUGACGCUGA